rnacentral:rRNA from 1 species
CCCUGGUGGGUAACCGGGAACUUGGUAUAAUCCCCUAUAAGUCUCGGCUGCUGGAAUGCACCGAGAUUAAAAGCUCCGGCGCCUAAGGAUGGGUCUGCGGCCUAUCAGGUAGUAGUGGGUGUAGCGUACCUACUAGCCUACGACGGGUACGGGUUGUGAGAGCAAGAGCCCGGAGAUGGAUUCUGAGACACGAAUCCAGGCCCUACGGGGUGCAGCAGGCGCGAAAACUUUACAAUGCUGGCAACAGCGAUAAGGGAACCUCGAGUGCCAGGUUACAAAUCUGGCUGUCGAGAUGCCUAAAAAGCAUUUCAUAGCAAGGGCCGGGCAAGACCGGUGCCAGCCGCCGCGGUAACACCGGCGGCUCGAGUGGUAACCGUUAUUAUUGGGUCUAAAGGGUCUGUAGCCGGCCGGAUAAGUCUCUUGAGAAAUCUGGCAGCUUAACUGUCAGGCUUUCAGGAGAUACUGUCUGGCUCGAGGCCGGGAGAGGUGAGAGGUACUUCAGGGGUAGGGGUGAAAUCUUGUAAUCCUUGAAGGACCACCAGUGGCGAAGGCGUCUCACCAGAACGGACCUGACGGCAAGGGACGAAAGCUAGGGGCACGAACCGGAUUAGAUACCCGGGUAGUCCUAGUCGUAAACGAUACUCGCUAGGUGUCGGCCACGGUGCGACCGUUGUCGGUGCCGUAGGGAAGCCGUGAAGCGAGCCACCUGGGAAGUACGGCCGCAAGGCUGAAACUUAAAGGAAUUGGCGGGGGAGCACCACAACGGGUGGAGCUUGCGGUUUAAUUGGAUUCAACGCCGGAAAUCUUACCGGGACCGACAGCAAUAUGAAGGCCAGGCUGAAGACUUUGCCGGAUUAGCUGAGAGGUGGUGCAUGGCCGUCGUCAGUUCGUACUGUGAAGCAUCCUGUUAAGUCAGGCAACGAGCGAGACCCACGCCCACAGUUGCCAGCGUACUCUCUGGAGUGACGGGUACACUGUGGGGACCGCCGCUGCUAAAGCGGAGGAAGGAAUGGGCAACGGUAGGUCAGUAUGCCCCGAAUAUCCCGGGCUACACGCGGGCUACAAUGGUUGGUACAAUGGGUAUCUACCCCGAAAGGGGACGGGAAUCUCCUAAAACCAAUCUUAGUUCGGAUUGAGGGCUGCAACUCGCCCUCAUGAAGCUGGAAUCCGUAGUAAUCGCGUCAACAGACCGGGGU